rnacentral:lncRNA from 1 species
CUAAUCUUGUACCAUAUCCUCGUAUACAUUUCAUGCUCUCUUCAUAUGCCCCGGUUAUCUCUGCUGAGAAAGCAUAUCAUGAGCAGCUAUCAGUUCCUGAGAUCACAAAUGCAGUAUUUGAGCCCUCAAGUAUGAUGGCCAAGUGUGAUCCAAGGCAUGGGAAAUACAUGGCAUGCUGCUUGAUGUAUCGUGGAGAUGUCGUUCCCAAGGAUGUUAACGCUGCUGUUGCCACCAUCAAAACCAAACGGACUGUUCAAUUUGUUGACUGGUAAGAAAAAUGCAUUAAUUUGGGCAAAUAAUUGGGAAUAGUUAGUGAGGUUGGAUGAAAAAUGCUAAUAUAUGGAAAUGAUGUUCAAGAUUGUUUAGGGCUUGCUGUUGUUAUUCUUUAAAUAUCAGGGACAUUAUUUUCUGGGAGUGCUGAGGGUAUAUGGUGAAUGGUUUUGGACCAAUAUUUUCAUCUAAGAUGUUUUUAUCAAAUAAGACCAAGUCAACUCUGUCAGGUCAUGCUGGCUUCCCCAUGAUGACAUGGACCUGUUUUUGCUGUGAGUGACAGAAUGGGAAGGGGCCAUCAUUUUGUGAUUGCUUAAGUAGAGCUUAGGUGCAUGAUUCUCUUUCUUCUCAGCCUAAGAAAAACACUAGUCCAGUAAUGGGAGAUAUUGUCUUCAUCGGCAUGGGUUGAGACUUAAACGAUAUUUCAAUAAUGUAGGUAACUUAGAGGAAGAGCCUUUGGUUUUAGAACACUUAUGUAUGUAUGUAUGUAAUUGUGUGUUCACCUUCAAUGUUCCAAAAAAGUGAAUGGUUGGUGACUCUUACUUUAUUGCUGUCAACCUGUAGGUUCAGAGAUUUUUCAGAACUUUAUGGAAGUGAUGAUUGGUGUAGGAUUAGGUCCCAAUCAUCACAAUUUGGUUAGAAUUGUGUUCAUACCCUUCAAGCAUGUGUUCUUUUCUCUCAUCAUCUUUUCCCAGUCUGAAAAACUUUCUUAUUUGGGUUUUGUAGGUGCCCAACUGGCUUCAAAUGUGGUAUUAACUAUCAGCCUCCCACAGUGGUACCUGGGGGUGAUCUUGCUAAGGUGCAGCGAGCUGUGUGCAUGAUCAGCAACAACACAGCAGUGGCUGAGGUGUUCUCGCGCAUUGACCAUAAAUUUGAUCUCAUGUAUGCCAAAAGGGCAUUUGUUCACUGGUAUGUUGGUGAAGGCAUGGAGGAAGGAGAGUUCUCAGAAGCUCGUGAAGAUCUGGCUG